rnacentral:misc_RNA from 1 species
CAGACAACUCAUCUCUGCUGCCUCUCUACCGCGCAUCGAUGUCGCUGACGGACAUAGAGGAGGCCGAGACAGUGGAGCUGCUCUCCGAGGACAGCUGCUCAACUAUGUCUGCCUCUUCUCAGGAUGUCGGGGCCACCACGGCCGAUACGUCUCUGCCGCUGACCGCUAACGCAAAUGAGGAACAACUGCGCCGCCGCACGCUGCACGAGUGUGCCUGUAUUCCAGAGCUUGGGCCACAGACCGCGUGGCUCGAGGAGAGCGGCGCCGCAGGCAACGGACCGUCUGCAUCGACAACGGAGAUGAACUGGGAUGUCGCGCACGCUGACCACAUCAUUGUUGCUGUGCGGUGGCGGGUGGCGCUGACUUCACCUGGCACAGGAAGCCCCUCACUUCACACAACCCCGUGGGUGCCGUAUGCGGUGCCCCUCGCCAAGAUGAUCGCCUCCAGGACAACGGCCGCGGCGGACACAGCGAGCACUGUCACGAGCACUGCCAGCAGCAGCGGCGGUGGCAGCAGCGCGAUACUGCAGCCCCUCGGCUCCGUGCAGCUGCCCCUAGGACGCUCGAUGUUCCUCCUCGCUGCGCAGCUUUCCUCUCUCGUUCCAUGCGUGUGGGACAGCGGCGUUGCAGCGGAGAGCCUUGUCAGCGUGGCUGCCUCCAUCUCACGAGCGCAGUGUACACUGCACCUCCACUACGCGGCAGCAAAGACACCGCAGGCGCCAUCCUCGCUGCGAGCCCGUCCCGUGUGUCGCUCCUUCGAUGUGUUUGCGAUUUCCCCAACGACGGCGCUCCUCGGUGUCGCCUUGCAGCCUCACCAGCGCUACCACAUCAAGCGGAAGCGCGGUACCGGCAAGUCCGCCCACACCUCGGAGGAUCAACCGUGCGAUGCGAAAGGCGUCCUCACCUUGCGAGUGGGACCAUACUGCCACGUGGAUGUGGCGCUGGACGGGUUGCCUUCUGAGCCUCAUGUCAGCGGCAGUGCCGGCACGUGCCCCUCCAUCACUAUCAACACAUACAAUGGUCGUCAUGCGCACGCCACGCGGAGUGGUCAGACGCAAGACAGCCCGGCAGUGCACCGGACGUCGGCAUGUCGGAGUGGCGUUGCACGCGAACACCCCGCGGCGGUGACGCAGCUGCAGCGCGGCUCGACGACAUCUCUCAUCACCGGCGACAGCACCGCCGUCUUGGCGACGAUGUCUGACAUGUCGGACCACGUCGCGCUGAGCGAGGCCAGUGGGCAUGAGCACGACGGCCCUGUCGUCGCCGGGAGCCAGGAGGUGGCCGCCGCGCCGUCGCGCACGACCAUCACAGGGUCCCUCAAGCGGCAGCGGUCAACUGCGGCUCGAGGACGCGCUGCUGAAGCGGUGGUCCGGCAAGUCGACAACGCGAAAGCUGUGGAGGGAGGCGAUGAUGACGAGGCAGACGCAGCCGCGUCGCACUCCGUCGCCACGACGCCCAGCGCGAUCGUUCUCUUCACGACAGGGAUGCGGCUCAGCGAUGUGGAGGAGAAGACGUUGAAGGAGCUCGGUGCCCUCGUGAACCCGCAUCUGCGCCUGGCACGCUACGCCCGCGUCCUUGUAGCGCAGCGGCCGCUCGCGCGCAGUGUGAAGCUGCUCACCGUCCUGCCCUACGUCCAAGAUGUGGUGCAUCAGAGCUGGCUCGACGCGGUGCUGCGCACCCGCACCCUCGACCUCCCGCUGGAGGGAUUCGCCUACAAGGAGCGGAAGAUUGCCGGCAGCAUCGAGAGCGAGAACAGCUUCGACCUGCGUGAAACAAUGAGCAAGGCCCCGACGGAGCGCCAGCGGCUCUUCGCGCAGCAGCGCUUCUGGGUGCACAAGUCCGCGGCCCCGCAGGAGCCGCCGAUGAACGAUCUGAAGACGGUGGUGGCGGCCUCGGGCGGCAUCAUCACGCGGUGCGUUCUCGACGCAGACGUUCUCGUCCUGCCCAAGCACAAGCCCACCCUAUCGUGUUGGCGUGGUAUUGCGCAGCAGCUCGGCGGAACCGGCGGGGCGUCGGCCUCGUCCGCGUCCGCGGCCCCGACGCUCGCACAGCGCAAGCAAGCCGGCGUCUUGUUUGUGGUGCCAGACGACAUCUUCAAGUGUGUGCUGCAGCAGCGCCGUCUCUCCGCCUCCUCCAUCACUCUUCCACGUCAGCUCCUGACGGAGGCCGCCGCCACUAGAGGCACAACCGGCGCGGCCAGAGUUGGCCGACGCCCCUCUCAGCCAACACGGAAGACGCCGCGCGCCUCCACGACGCAGCGGUCUCCACAUCGUAAAUCGUGCAAGCGCUCGCAGUAGUGGUCGGGUCCCACGAGGCUGGUAUCAGAGCAUGCGUAUAGGUAUGAGUUCGUGCAUAG